GACCUGUAUGAAUGGUUAAACGAGGGCCUAACUGUCUCCCUGUUCUAGUCAAUGAAAUUGAUCUGCCCGUGCAGAAGCGGACAUAAUUAUACAAGACGAGAAGACCCUUUGGAGCUUAAGAUAAAGACCAAUUAUGUCAAUAAUCCCCACAGAAGCUAAACUAAAUAACCACUGGUCCAAAUCUUCGGUUGGGGCGACCGUGGGAAAAAACAAAACUCCCAUGUAGAAAGGGGGGCACCCCUAAAACUAAGAGAGACAUCUCUAAGAAACAGAACUUCUGACUAUAAAGAUCCGGCCACACGCCGACCAACGAACCAAGUUACCCAAGGGAUAACAGCGCAAUCCCCUUCCAGAGUCCAUAUCGACAAGGGGGUUUACGACCUCGAU
rnacentral:rRNA from 1 species